rnacentral:rRNA from 1 species
AAUGGCCGCGGUAAUUUGACCGUGCAAAGGUAGCAUAAUUAUUAGUCUUUUAAUUGAAGGCUUGUAUGAACGAUUGGAUGAAAGAUAAACUAUAUUAAUAUAAAUUAUUUAACUUAAUAUUUAAGUAAAAAUUCUUAAAUAAAUAAGUGGGACGAGAAGACCCUAUAGAGUUUAAUUUUCCUUUUCAUUAAAAAAUUCAAGAAAUAAUAUUUUUUAUUUUUAAGAAAAAUUUUAUUGGGGUGAUAUUAAAAACUUAAUAACUUUUGAUUAAUAAUUCAUUUAUUUAUGAUUAAUUGAUCCAAUUAUUUUGAUCACAAGAUAUAAUUACCUUAGGGAUAACAGCGUUAUUAAUUUGGAGAGUUCUAAUCGAUAAAUUAGUUUGCGACCUCCGAUGUUGGAUUAAGAAAAAGUUUUGAAGUAGUAUUUAAAAUUAUAGGUCUGUUCGACCUUUAAAUUCUUACG